UAGAAACAUUUUCAUUUCCAAUUGUUCAUAACUAGUAUAUAGAGACAUAGUUCAUUUCUCUAUGUUACUUUUACAUAGGUUUAAACUCCAUGAUAGAUUAUUUUGUUUCAAUACAUUAAUUGUAUUUGUAACAUUUCAUAUAACAAGGAAAGUGUCUUUAUAUUUACCUACGUAGUUUCAAUUUCUGGUGUUUUUCAUUCCUUUCUGUGGAUCUGGAAUCCCAUUUGGUAUCAUUUUCAUCUGUCUUAAUGUCUUUGGCAGUUUUUUUGUGACUAGGAGGGGUGUGGCAAAACAUUCAUCAGGAACUACCAUCUGUCCCUAGAUCUUGAUUCACACCGAAGAAAAGCCAUCUCUACAACUAUUGGCUGUGGUCAAAAAUGCCAACGUCUUUGGCAUUUCAGAUUUAUCUUCUUAAAGAGACAAGAAUACUAAGUUCCACAUGGACUCGCCAUCCUCAAAUCGCUGGCUGCGUACUUUCUCCAUGCACUUUCCUCUCUACCUCUUGUACCUCUCAUUGGCUGAGCCUACCAUGGAGUCAGAUGGCAAUGAUGAAUGUGGGGUGCAGAGUGCCAGCACCAGCAUCACAGUUUCACAAGGAAUUGGAGACCAAGGUCCCACACUGAAAACAAGAAGUUGCUACCACUUCAAGACUGCUACUGUACCAGGGAGGUGGUGUGAUAAAGGCAAGUAAAAAAACUGAGAAUUUUUUGUCAAUUUCAACUUGCCUUUUCUUAACAUUCACUUGAUUGACACAAACAUUUGACUGUUUUUUAGAAUUUUGUCAAAGUUGUUUCUAACGAUUCAUGCUUAUUUGUUGCUUCUUCUGGGGAUGAAGGAGAGAUUGGUAUUGCCUACUCUACCAUUUUGCUGAUGUUAC
rnacentral:lncRNA from 1 species